AAGAGUUUUCCUGUUUUGGUUAUUAAUGAAAAGAAAACCGACACUAUUACACUGAACUCGGACUACAAAAGAAGUGGGGUCGGACCGAGUCUGUGUUUUGAAGCCAAAGUCAGAAGCCAGACGCCCAACCGGCGGAAGAAGCUAAGGUUUUUGUUCCGUGGUGGACAGGUGGACGUUAAGCUAGCUUCGCUGCCAGCGUCACUCUUGUAGACGUGUUAACGGUCAGCUCUGUCAAGGCAGGAAACUGCCACCAACCGUUGAUACCCAAAUGGUAAGCUGGUCGCUUUUUCUCCAUUUAACUUGGAAAUAACAACUUUGACGUAGCUAGGACCACAUAGGAAGCAGGACGGAUAUGCCAGGUGCUCCAUGAAGCUGGCACAAGUUCAGAGCUGAUGGAGAGUUGAUUUUCUACUCAUAUCAAGUAAGAAGAUCGACUAAAGGAAAAAGGAGAGAAGAAAGGGGUCAGACAUGCACUAGACAGCACCAGGAUCAUGACUAGAACCUGCAACCAGGCAUCAAGGACCAAAGGCUAUGCAUAUAACAGGACUUGCUACAGAGUUUGGGUGUGAUCCUCAGCCUUGAGCUGAGCAGAUGAUGAAGAAAACCAUCCUGUAGCAGCUGAAACCAGUGCUAUGGGUGCACGCUACCUCCAGAGCAGCCGGAGUCUUUUUUCUUCCAGCCGACAGUUGAAGUGCGGGACACACAUACACCUGCAUCCUUGAGGGUCAACUUCAUCUGUUGGAUCUGCAGCUGUAAAGAUGUUUCUCUUCUAAGCUCCAGAUGUUCGUCAUCUGGUCUUUUAAUCCAGCAGGAUGUUCUCGUUUACUGAAGUCAAAAGUGCUCUGUAGCAUCUAAAAGGUAACCUGUGGAGUUAAGGACCUGAUGUAUCAAUAGCUACUCAGUGUUUUGUUUGUCUAGUGCACUCACGGGUCCUGGG